rnacentral:ncRNA from 2 species
GCCACGUGCUAGGGGUGUCGUUUGAAAAAACGGCUGAGAAAAACCCUUCGAACCUGAAAGAGAUCAUGCUCGCGCAGGGAAGCUACCAUGGGUUUGC